UACGUAGGUGGCAAGCGUUGUCCGGAUUUAUUGGGUUUAAAGGGUGCGUAGGCGGCCCUGUAAGUCAGUGCUGAAAUAUCCCGGCUUAACCGGGAGGGUGGCAUUGAUACUGCAGGGCUUGAGUAAAGUUGAGGUAGGCGGAAUUGACGGUGUAGCGGUGAAAUGCGCAGAUAUCAGGAGGAACACCAAUGGCGAAGGCAGCACGCUGGGACGUUACUGACGCUGAGACGCGAAAGCGUGGGGAGCAAACAGG
rnacentral:rRNA from 1 species